CUUGCUUUUGUUCACUGAAGUGGAACUAUUAAUUCAUUGGAAGGGAUGUGUAUCAGCACAGCUUUGAAAAGACAGUGGCGGUGUGCGGCCUUGCUUGCUAAACAGUCUAUUCAAGAAAUAUUUUUCAUUUAAUUUUUGUAACAAAACCUUAAAAAUAUCACAGGAGAGAAGGAAACAUCACAUUUUUGCUCCCUUUCUCAUUUAUCUUCUGGGAGUCUAAAACACUGAGGAAGAAAAAUGGGGGUUAUGGUCUUCAGUGGUUCAGACUAGAAAUUCCUAUAGUUCAAAGUCCUUCGUUUUCUAAUGAAGAGAUGAAGGCCUACAGACUUGCCCAAGGUCUUUACGAUAAGUUAAGAUUACAGAAGAAGUCACCACUGAAAACAAGGUAGACAGUCUAUCUCCAGCUGUGAUCUACUGAGGGUGCAACAUGUUGGCAUUAGAGGGUGGAAAAACAGUAAAGGUUUUUAAAAAUUGGAAAAGAGCCAAGUUCCUGAAAGUGGAGGCCUUUGGAAGGAUAUUGUUUAGAAGCCAUGGAGCAGAAGAACAUGGGGAGUAAGUCUUAUGGGUUUCACCACAGUGUGCAGUGUGCUGUUCUAGUUUUCUAUGACUGCCAUGAAAAUUAGGAAGUCAAGAGAUACCUGGAAUAACAGGAAAGGUUGGCCUUGGAGUACAAAAUGAAGCAGGGCAAAGGCUAACAGAGUUUUGCCAAGAGAAUUCACUGGUCAUAGCAAACACCCUCUUCCAACGCCACAAGAGACGACUCUACACAUGGAUAUCACCAGAUGUUCAACACCAAAAUCAUAUUGUUGUAUUCUUUGCAGAUGGAGAAGCUCUAUACAGUCAGUGAAAAGAAGACCAGCAGCUGACUGUGGAUCAGAUCAUGAACAACUUAUUGCAAAUUCAGACUUAAAUUGAAGAGAGUAUGGAAAACCACUUGACCAUUCAGGUAUAACCUAAAUCAAAUCCCUUGUAAUUAUACAAUGGAAGUGACAAAUAGAUUCAAGGGAUUAGAUCUGAUAGAGUGCCUGCAGAACUAUGGAUGGAGGUUCAUAACAUUAUACAGGAGGAGGUAAUCAAAACUAUCCCCAAAAAGAAGAAAUGAAAAAAGGCAAAUGGUUGUCUGAGGAGGCCUUACAAAUAGCUGAGAAAAGAAGUGAAGUGAAAGGCAAAGGAGAAAAGGAAAGAUAAAUCCAUCUGAAUGCAGAGUUCCAAAGAAUAGCAAGGCGAGAUAAGAAAGCCUUCCUCAGUGAUCAGUGCAAAGAAAUAGAGGAAAGCAAUAGAAUGGGAAAGACUAGAGAUCUCUUCAAGAAAAUUAGAGAUACCAAGGGAACAUUUUAUUCAAAGAUGGGCACAAUCAAGUACAGAAAUGGUAUGGACCUAACAGAAGCAGAAGAUAUUAAGAAGAGGUGACAAGAAUACACAGAACUAUACGAAAAAGAUCUUAAUGACCCAGAUAACCACAAUGGUGUGAUCACUCACCUAGACCCAGACAUCCUGGAGCGUGAUGUCAAGUGGAUUUUAGGAAGCAUCACUAUGAGCAAAGCUAGUGGAGGUGAUGGAAUUCCAGUUGAGCUAUUUAAAAUCCUAAAAAAUGAUGCUGUGAAAGUGCUGCACUCAGUAUGCCAGCAGAUUUGGAAAACUCAGAAGUGGCCACAGAACUGGAAAAGGUCAGUUUUCAUUCCAAUCCCAUUGCCUUCCUUUGGAAGUCAAUGCCAAAGAAUGUUCAAACUACAGGACAAUUGCACUCAUCUCACACACUAGCAAAGUAAUGCUCAAAAUUCUCCAAGGUAGGCUUCAACAGUAUGUGAACUGAGAACUUUCAGAUGUUCAAGCUGAAUUUAGAAAAGGCAGAGGAACCGGAGAUCAAAUUGCCAAUAUCUACUGGAUCAUAGAAAAAUCAAGAGAAUUCCAGAAAAACAUCUACUUCUGCUUUAUUGACUAUGCUAAAGCCUUUGACUGUGUGGAUCACAACAAACUGUGGGAAAUUCUUAAAGAGAUUGGAAUACCAGACCACCUGACCGGCCUCCUGAGAAAUCUGUACGCAGGUCACGAAGCAACAGUUAGAACUGGAUGUGGGAAAAUAGACUGGUUCCAAAUUGGGAAAGGAGUACAUCAAGGCUGUAUAUUGCUUGUUUAACUUAUAUGCAGAGUACAUCAUGAGAAAUGCUGGGCUGGAUGAAGCACAAGCUGGAAUCAAGAUUGCUGCGAGAAAUAUCAAUAACCUUAGAUAGGCAGAUGAGACCACCCUUAUGGCAGAAAGCAAAGAGGAACUAACGAGCCUCUUGAUGAAAGUGAAAGAGGAGAGUGAAAAAACUGGCUUCAACAUUCAGAAAACUCAACAUUCAGAAAAAACUCAACAUUCAGAAAACUAAGAUCAUGGCAUCCGGUCCCAUCACUUCAUGGCAAAUAGAUGGGGAAACAAUGAAAACAGUGACAGACA
ensembl:lncRNA